rnacentral:lncRNA from 1 species
AUGUGAUCCUGAUUCAGUAGGUCUAAGCGUGGUAUUGCUAAGAGCAAGGCCAUGGCAAGAGCUUAGGUGAUGAGGAAUUAAGGAAGCAAGGAAGAUCCUUAAGCAUUCAAUCCUGUGGGGCAGAAGGAGUGGGUAGAAAAAAAGCCAGUAAAGGGCCCCAGUGGAAAACAGGAAUGAGAGAUGAAGAAAUCUGGCAAGAUUCACAAGAUAUUUUCCCUCCAAAGGUGACAUUCUUUCAGACAAAUCCAUGGAUGCUCAGAUCCUGCAGUGCCGUUGUUCGAUCUUGGUGAGACCAGGAGCUUGUCAGAGUUCCAAAGCCUUGAUGGGAUGCUGAAGUAGGCAGACCUGGUUUAAAUCCAGCUCUACAACUAAUAGCUCAAUGACCUGGAACAGUGAUAUUUUAGACUCAUAUGCACAACUCUAAGACCAUAGAGGAAUAUGAUUCAAAUGAUUCUGUCUGGUAGCAUGAGUCAAUCUCAGAAGCCAGCUUACUCUAAGCUCUCUAUGUGCAUCAGCACAGAAGCCCCAGUCCAGGUAACAGCCUCAAUGACUUCUUCCUAGCAGUUGGCAUGGCCUAUUGUUGGGAGGGAGAAAGCUGCCAUGCAAAAUGGCUCCUUUCCUUUGUAACAUCAGCUCUACAGCCAGAGUCAGAAUGCCUUCACUCUCCAGCCAUUUAGUGAAAUGCUUUUCAGGUUCACCAUUUUCAGGGAACUUCCUUUACAGCGUUUAUUAAUGAGAAAAAAAGAUGAUUGGACCAUGCACUUGUAGGGUGGACUGGAAAGUAGUAAACUAACAUCCAUUCAUUCACAAACAGAAGAAUUUUAUACAUUGUAUGGAAUUAAUAUGUCUGGACUGCAAACAGCAAAGGAACUGAAGUCUAGAAUCCUCUUUUCCCUCUCCUUUCCCCUACCUUAUCUCCCUUAAAUAUAUUCAGUAUUCAGGUAAUGGAACAGAACAAAUCAAUUGCUCUAUAGUGUACAUAGGAGGAUUCCCUUAAAAUGAACUACUUAGUAAAACUUCCAUGGUGCUGCAGGAGCCAUCUUCGAGCACUAUAAGGGGGAAGGAGAUAUGUCCUAGU